GAUGAACGCUGGCGGCGUGCUUAACACAUGCAAGUCGAACGAUGAAGCUAGAGCUUGCUCUGGUGAAUUAGUGGCGAACGGGUGAGUAACACGUGAGUAACCUGCCCCGAACUCUGGGAUAACUGCUGGAAACGGUAGCUAAUACUGGAUACGACCUACGAAGGCAUCUUCUGUAGGUGGAAAGAAUUUCGGUUCGGGAUGGACUCGCGGCCUAUCAGCUUGUUGGUGAGGUAAUGGCUCACCAAGGCGACGACGGGUAGCCGGCCUGAGAGGGUGAGCGGCCACACUGGGACGGAGACACGGCCCAGACUCCUACGGGAGGCAGCAGUGGGGAAUAUUGCACAAUGGGCGCAAGCCUGAUGCAGCAACGCCGCGUGAGGGAUGGCGGCCUUCGGGUUGUAAACCUCUUUUAGUAGGGAAGAAGCGAAAGUGACGGUACCUGCAGAAAAAGCACCGGCUAACUACGUGCCAGCAGCCGCGGUAA
rnacentral:rRNA from 1 species